GUCACUACUGGCACACUGGGUCACUGCAUCUGGCUGUUAACCAGAAGGUUGCUGGUUCAAGCCCACCAGGAAUGGUUGCAGGCA